rnacentral:rRNA from 1 species
GACGACGCUGGCGGCGUGCCUAAUACAUGCAAGUAGAACGAGUUGCGAACGGGUGAGUAACGCGUGGUAACCUGCCUCAUCGCGGGGGAUAACUAUUGGAAACGAUAGCUAAUACCGCAUACCAUCAGAUGUGCCCAGAUGGGAUUAGCUAGUAGGUGGGGUAAUGGCUCACCUAGGCGACGAUCCCUAGCUGGUCUGAGAGGAUGACCAGCCACACUGGAACUGAGACACGGUCCAGACUCCUACGGGAGGCAGCAGUGGGGAAUAUUGCACAAUGGGCGCAAGCCUGAUGCAGCCAUGCCGCGUGUGUGAAGAAGGCCUUCGGGUUGUAAAGCACUUUCAGCGGGGAGGCGUUACUCGCAGAAGAAGCACCGGCUAACUCCGUGCCAGCCGCCGCGGUAAUAC